UUUCCGUAGGUGAACCUGCGGAAGGAUCAUUACAGAGUUCGUGCCCUUCGGGGUAGACCUCCUACCGUGUUUAUUUAUACCUUUUGUUGCUUUGGCGGGCCGCCUCGGCCACCGGCUCCGGCUGGUGCGUGCCCGCCAGAGGACCCCAAACUCUGAAUGUUAGUGUCGUCUGAGUACUAUCUAAUAGUUAAAACUUUCAACAACGGAUCUCUUGGUUCUGGCAUCGAUGAAGAACGCAGC
rnacentral:misc_RNA from 1 species